rnacentral:rRNA from 1 species
AUUGAACGCUGGCGGCAGGCCUAACACAUGCAAGUCGAGCGGAUGAGUGGAGCUUGCUCCAUGAUUCAGCGGCGGACGGGUGAGUAAUGCCUAGGAAUCUGCCUGGUAGUGGGGGACAACGUUUCGAAAGGAACGCUAAUACCGCAUACGUCCCACGGGAGAAAGUGGGGGACCCUCGGGCCUCACGCUAACAGAUGAGCCUAGGUCGGAUUAGCUAGUUGGUGGGGUAAAGGCCCACCAAGGCGACGAUCCGUAACUGGUCUGAGAGGAUGAUCAGUCACACUGGAACUGAGACACGGUCCAGACUCCUACGGGAGGCAGCAGUGGGGAAUAUUGGACAAUGGGCGAAAGCCUGAUCCAGCCAUGCCGCGUGUGUGAAGAAGGUCUUCGGAUUGUAAAGCACUUUAAGUUGGGAGGAAGGGCGCUCGGUGAAUACCCAGGCGUCUUGACGUUACCGACAGAAUAAGCACCGGCUAACUUCGUGCCAGCCGCCGCCGUAAAAC